UGUGUUCUGCUUUAAAACUGAACCUUGGCUCUUCAAAGUAACCCUCAAGCCUUUAUCCAAAAUAUAUCAGGUAGGGGUCAUUAGGAAACCUAAUAGCAUCUUGUAAGCACUAAUAAAGGUUACUGUUCUAAAAGUCAUUUUAAAACAACCAUAAGCUGGCAAAGACUGACAGAAUGAACUUUUUCAGAACUCUGGAAUCUAAUUGAAAACUUACAACAGCAACCAAGAGACUGCUUAAUGAAGAAAAGGGCAGCUGAUUUUUGGCAUUUAAGGAAAUCUCUGUUAGGUAACUGGCUGACCAGUGAGAUAGUGGAACAGAGACUUCAGUGACCACACCCAACAAGGAAUACUGCCUUUGCAAAAACAGUUUGGAAAAGUCACUAAACAAAUGGAUGACUGGAGCCCUCAGGAAUCAACAACAGCAAACCCUGAGGCAGGGAGAGAAUAUGAUUACCCAUUGUAAUGUUCAGAUGCCCAGUUUUCAACAGAAAGGUAUAAGGCAUACACAGAAAGAGGAAAGUAUGGCCCAUUCAAAGGGAGAAAAUAAAUUGGCAAAAACCUUCCCCGGGAAGCCCAGACAUUGGACUUACUACUAGACAACUGUCUUAAAUAUGCUCAAAGAGCCAGCAGAAAUCAGGAAAACGAUGGAUGAACAAAGUGAGAAUAUCAAUAAAUUAUAUAAAAAAAGAACCAAGUAUACAUUUUGGAGCUACAAAUGAUUUUAG
rnacentral:lncRNA from 1 species